GCUUGCAAGCGUCCCCCUUUUUCCUCCAAACAUAACGAUGGUCAUUAUGGCCAAACAGUUUUAUUUUUGUUUCAUCAGACCAGAGUACAUUUCUCCAAAAGUAUUAUCUUUGUCCCCAUGUGCAGUUGCAAACCGUAGUCUGGCUUUUUUAUGGCGGUUUUCGAGCAGUGGCUUCUUCCUUGCUGAGCGGUCUUUCAGGUUAUGUCAAUAUAGGACUCGUUUUACUGUGGAUAUAGACACUUUUGUACCUGUUUCCUCCAGCAUCUUAAAAGGGUCCUUUGCUGUUGUUCUGGGAUUGAUAUGCACUUUUAACACCAAAGUAUGUUCAUCUCUAGAAGACAGAAUCUCCUUCCUGAGCGGUAUGAUGGCUGCAUGGUCCCAUGGUGUCUAUACUUGCGUACUAUCGUUUGCAUAGAUGAAAAUGGUACCUUCAGGCGCUUGGAAAUUGCUCCCAAGGAUGAACCAGACUUCUGGAGGUCUUCAAUUUUUUUUCUGAGGUCUUGGCUGAUUUCUUUAGAUUUUCCCAUGAUGUCAAGCAAAGAGGCACUGAGUUUGAAGGUAGGCCUUGAAAUACAUCCACAGGUACACCUCCAAUUGACUCAAAUGAUGUCAUUUAGCCCAACAGAAGCUUCUAAAGCCAUGACAUCAUUUUCUGGAAAUUUCCAAGCUGUUUAAAGGCACAGUCAACUUAGUGUAUGCACACUUCUGACCCACUGGAAUUGUGAUAAAGUGAAUUAUAAGUUAAAUAAUGUGUCUGUAAACAAUUGUUGGAAAAAUGACUUGCGUCAUGUACAAAGUAGAUGUCCUAACCGAUUUGACAAAACUAUAGUUUGUUAACAAGAAAUUUGUGUAGUGGUUGAAAAACGAGUUUUAAUGACCAACCUAAUUGUAUGUAAACGUCCGUCUUAAACUGUAUCUUGAAUGUGCUAGAUCUUUGGGGCAGGGGUGGGGGCUUGGCUGAGGCCUCAGUCAGGGUUGUAAAGAGGUCUAAAUUGUAUUGGUUAAGGCUAUUGAAGGGUAAGGGUGAGGUUGAAGAUGGAUAUAUCUAGGUAGGGUAGGGGAGGGUAAAGUUGGGGAGAGGGUAUAGGUCUGGGUCUAGGUAGCCACGUCCAAGGGAAGGUAGGGAGUUAGGGGGUGUAGGGCUGGGUCUAGGUAGCCUGGUCCAGGGUAGGGUAGGGGAGUAAGGGGUGUAGGGCUGGGUCUAGGUAGCCUGGUCCAGGGUAGGGUAGGGGAGUAGGGGGUGUAGGGCUCGGUCUAGGUGGCCUGGUCCAGGGUAGGGUAGGGAAGUAGGGGGUGUAGGGCUGGGUCUAGGUGUCUAGGUGGCCUGGUCCAGGGUAGGGUAGGGAAGUAGGGGGUGUAGGGCUGGGUCUAGGUGGCCUGGUCCAGGGUAGGGUAGGGGAAUAGGGGAUGUAGGGCUGGGUCUAGGUGGCCUGGUCCAGGGUAGGGUAGGGGAGUAGGGGAUGUAGGGCUGGGUCUAGGUGGCCUGGUCCAGGGUAGGGUAGUGGAGUAGGGGGUGUAGGGCUGGGUCUAGGUGGCCUGGUCCAGGGUAGGGUAGGGGAGUAGGGGGUGUAGGGCUGGGUCUAGGUGGCCUGGUCCAGGGUAGGGUAGGGGAGUAGGGGGUGUAGGGCUGGGUCUAGGUAGCCUGGUCCAGGGUAGGGUAGGGGAGUAGGGAGUGUAGGGCUGGGUCUAGGUGGCCUGGUCCAGGGUAGGUUAGGGGAGUAGGGGGUGUAGGGCUGGGUCUAGGUGGCCUGGUCCAGGGUAGGGUAGGGGAGUAGGGGGUGUAGGGCUGGGUCUAGGUGGCCUGGUCCAGGGUAGGGUAGGGGAGUAGGGGGUGUAGGGCUGGGUCUAGGUGGCCUGGUCCAGGGUAGGGUAGGGGAGUAGGGGGUGUAGGGCUGGGUCUAGGUGGCCUGGUCCAGGGUAGGGUAGGGGAGUAGGGGGUGUAGGGCUGGGUCUAG